UGUCCUCUCAGUGGACACACUCUCUCCUGUCUCGUCUUCUCUGGUCACACUUGGACAUCAGCAUGUGUCUUCGUCUGUCUCCGUCUGUGGCGUCCUCAGCCACGUCUUCAUGGGACUGGGAAAAAGUCCGUCCAGUGUCCACUCUGACUCAGACAUGUGCGGUGUCACGACGGCUCCUCCAGGCUCCAGGUGCCUCGUUUGGCUCUUCGACACCGUCUGAGCGUGCUCAGUGGCUGUGUGUCUCGACCUGCCCCUUGGCGUCAUCGGCCAAUCACCUUCCUCUGCUACGUCCUGUCAGUGAGUGCUCUGCGGCCGUUGGC